rnacentral:rRNA from 1 species
GACGUAGGGUGCAAGCGUUGUCCGGAUUUAUUGGGCGUAAAGAGCUCGUAGGCGGCUUGUUGCGUCGACUGUGAAAACCCGCGGCUUAACCGCGGGCUUGCAGUUGAUACGGGCAGGCUAGAGUUCGGUAGGGGGAGACUGGAAUUCCUGGUGUAGCGGUGAAAUGCGCAGAUAUCAGGAAGAACACCAAUGGCGAAAGCAGCUCUCUGGGACGGUACUGACGCUGAGACGCGAAAGCGUGGGGAGCGAACAGG